AUUGAACGCUGGCGGCAGGCCUAACACAUGCAAGUCGAGCGGAUGAAGGGAGCUUGCUCCUGGAUUCAGCGGCGGACGGGUGAGUAAUGCCUAGGAAUCUGCCUGGUAGUGGGGGAUAACGUCCGGAAACGGGCGCUAAUACCGCAUACGUCCUGAGGGAGAAAGUGGGGGAUCUUCGGACCUCACGCUAUCAGAUGAGCCUAGGUCGGAUUAGCCAGUUGGUAGGAUAAAGGCCUACCAAGGCGACGAUCCGUAACUGGUCUGAGAGGAUGAUCAGUCACACUGGAACUGAGACACGGUCCAGACUCCUACGGGAGGCAGCAGUGGGGAAUAUUGGACAAUGGGCGAAAGCCUGAUCCAGCCAUGCCGCGUGUGUGAAGAAGGUCUUCGGAUUGUAAAGCACUUUAAGUUGGGAGGAAGGGCAGUAAGUUAAUACCUUGCUGUUUUGACGUUACCAACAGAAUAAGCACCGGCUAACUUCGUG
rnacentral:rRNA from 1 species